CUCACGGACCGCGAGAUCGUGACCUGGCUGAAGUCGGACGCUCAACUGACUGCGCCACCCAGGCGCCCCAUUUAUGCACAGAUUUUCUGUCCCACCUUUUGUGGUUAGGAGUUGUCUGUUGCAGGCAUCUGAUCACCUGUGACUUUUUUUUUUUUUUUUUUUUUUUUUUUGCUUUUCUGCCCUGGUCCCUUGAGGUGUCCCCACAGUGUGCGUGCUGCCCUCAGGAGCCCUCUGCUAUUUUAAUGUGCCAUUCUUCACGGAAGGCCAAGACGACCCCAAGGGGAGGCCUUUAGGAUGGACAAGCCUGCACUACAUUUGUGUUUGCUGCCCACAGCCUUGAGGGACAGACGCCUGAGACAUCUAAAGCUUUUAGAGCUAAAAGGACUGCACGCUCAUCAGGGCAAGACGUGGGCAGACGGGGGAUCUGGUUUUCUUGCCUCGUGUAUGUAAGGUUUCUGGUUAGAGUAAGAAGCGACAAAGCAACAAUACAGACUGUGGCAGACCACG